rnacentral:rRNA from 1 species
UGAGUUUGAUCCUGGCUCAGAACGAACGCUGGCGGCGUGCCUAACACAUGCAAGUCGAACGUGAUCCAGAGCUUGCUCUGGUGAAAGUGGCGCACGGGUGAGUAACGCGUGGAUAACCUACCCUGGUAUCCGGGAUAACAUUCCGAAAGGGGUGCUAAUACCGGAUAAGCCCACGGGCUCUUUGGAGCUUGCGGGAAAAGGUGGCCUCUAUUUAUAAGCUACUGUAUCAGGAUGGGUCCGCGUACCAUUAGCUAGUUGGCGGUGUAACGGACCACCAAGGCGACGAUGGUUAGCUGGUCUGAGAGGAUGAUCAGCCACACUGGAACUGAGACACGGUCCAGACUCCUACGGGAGGCAGCAGUGGGGAAUUUUGCGCAAUGGGGGAAACCCUGACGCAGCAACGCCGCGUGAGUGAUGAAGGCCUUUGGGUCGUAAAGCUCUGUCAGAGGGGAAGAAAUGAUAUAGUGCUAAUACCACUUUAUCUUGACGGUACCCUCAAAGGAAGCACCGGCUAACUCCGUGCCAGCAGCCGCGGUAAUAC